GGUCGCAAGUUGGAGGCCACAGCAGAAACGCUUAUGGCGCAGGCCUGUCAGAUUCCAACGAAUCUGCAAAUUCUGCU
rnacentral:ribozyme from 1 species